GGCGCAAUGGUCUAGUAGCAUGAUUCUUCCUUCGGGAGUUGCAUCCCCUGUGAGUGCACAGCGACUGGAAGAGGUCCCGGGUUCAAUUCCCGGUUGCGCCC